rnacentral:lncRNA from 1 species
AUAAAUUGGACUACAUAAAAAUUUAAAAUGGGCAUCAAAAGACAUAACCAACACAGUGAAAAUGCAACACAUAUACCCAAGUAACUGAAGACAUUAACUUGAGGAGAUAUUUGUAUACCCACAUUCAGAACAGAAUUAUUCACAAUAGCAAAAAUCCACUUUUGGACAUAUACCCAAGUAAUGGAAGACAUUAAAUUGAGGAGAUAUUUGUAUAUCCACAUUCAGAAGCAAAUUAUUCACAGUAGCCAAAUGUAGAAGCAACUCAAAUGUUCACAAAGGAGGGAACUGGUAAUCCAAAUGUGGUAUAUACAUACUAUUCCAUAUUAUUUAGUUUUAAAAAGGGAAAUUCUGACACAUGCUACAACAUGGAUGAAACU